GGGGCCAUAGCUCAGCUGGGAGAGCGCUACGCUGGCAGCAUAGAGGUCAGGGGUUCGAGCCCCCUUGGCUCCA
rnacentral:tRNA from 1 species